AUUCCAGCUCCAAUAGCGUAUAUUAAUGUUGUUGCAGUUAAAAAGCUCGUAGUUGGAUUUCUGGCAGGAGCGACCGGUCCGCCGCAAGGUGUGCACUAGGUUGUCUCCAGUCAUCUUUGUGGGAACUGCUCUGGCAUUAGUUUGUCGGGGUUAGGGAACACAUCGUUUACUGUGAAAAAAUUAGAGUGUUUAAAGCAGGCUUAUGCCGUUGAAUACAUUAGCAUGGAAUAAUAAGAUAGGACUUUGGCGUCUAUUUUGUUGGUUUGCACACCAAGGUAAUGAUUAAUAGGGAUAGUUGGGGGUAUUCGUAUUUAAUUGUCAGAGGUGAAAUUCUUGGAUUUAUGAAAGACGAACUUCUGCGAAAGCAUUUACCAAAGAUGUUUUCAUCA
rnacentral:rRNA from 1 species